GGAGAGUGAGCUUUUAACGAUGUGACGCAAUACCAAACACUUUACGACCCUGACGCCUUCAAUACGUAACUCUUAAACUUCUGUACAGCUGCCAGCGCAGCCAGGACUACAAAAUGGGAACAAAUUGUUACAGAAAUAUUACAUAAUAAUUAUGAAAUUAAAAGAGUAAUGCUCAAUGAAAGAAAAAUGGGUUUCAUGAAUCCCCAUGACACUUCCUUUGUAAUUGUUUCAUAGUGAGUACAAGAAAAUAUUCAGUUUCAUUUUAUGUAUUUAUUUAGAAAUAUUUCAGUUUUAAUUGUUUAUUGAAAUAAUUGUGCAUAUCUAAUGCUGUCAAGUUCAAAGCAGUUAAGGUGUAUCUACCAGAAGUUAUGCAUGAGUUAAAUUUUGAUUAAUAUGCAUCAAAAUCUAAUGCUUUAUGAACGUAUUUAGUAUUACUAUAAAAGCUGAUAAAAGGCUGUUGGAAUAAUCUAAGACAGUAUUUUGAUUUUGAUAUUUAUAAUAAUUAAUUAGUUUACUAAUAAAUGUGAUUUUUGACUUUUAGUUUGAAGCUACUUGAUAAAGUACAUAAUGUAAUAAUGCAAAAUGCUAAAAAUUAGGACACUGUCAUUUCGUAUAUUGUAAUUGUGAAUCUUUUAUUAGUAGCUGGAAUCCAAACUCAGUUAUUAAUUAAAAAUCUAAUUGCUUUUGUA